GCUGGGCAUAGUAAUGUAUGCCUGUAACCCCAGCAACUCAGGAAGCUGAGGCAGAAGAAUUGCAAGUUUGAGGCCAGCCUCAGCAAUUUAGCAAGGUCCUAAGUAACUUAGUGAGAUCCUGUCUCAA
rnacentral:sRNA from 1 species